rnacentral:rRNA from 1 species
UCCUGCCAGAGGUCACUGCUAUCGGGGUUCGAUUAAGCCAUGCGAGUCGAGAGGGUUCGGCCCUCGGCGUACUGCUCAGUAACACGUGGAUAACCUGCCCUAGGGAAGGGGAUAACCCCGGGAAACUGGGGAUAAUACCCUAUAGAUUACAGAUGCUGGAAUGCCCUGUAAUCCAAAGUUCCGACGCCCUAGGAUGGAUCUGCGGCCGAUUAGGUUGUUGUUGGGGUAAUGGCCCAACAAGCCCGUAAUCGGUACGGGUUGAUCUUGGAACCGGGAGAGGUGAGGGGUACUUCGGGGGUAGGAGUGAAAUCCUGUAAUCCUCGAGGGACCACCUGUGGCGAAGGCGCCUCACCAGAACGGCUUCGACAGUGAGGGACGAAAGCUGGGGGAGCAAACCGGAUUAGAUACCCGGGUAGUCCCAGCCGUAAACUAUGCGCGUUAGGUGUAUCGGUGACCACGAGUUACCGAGGUGCCGAAGGGAAACCGUGAAACGUGCCGCCUGGGAAGUACGGUCGCAAGGCUGAAACUUAAAGGAAUUGGCGGGGGAGCACCACAACAGGUGGAGCCUGCGGUUUAAUUGGACUCAACGCCGGGAAGCUCACCGGAUAAGACAUCAGAAUGAUUGCCGGGCUGAAGACUCUGCAUGACUAGCUGAGAGGAGGUGCAUGGCCGUCGUCAGUUCGUACUGUGAA